rnacentral:rRNA from 1 species
UGACCGUGCUAAGGUAGCGCAAUCAAUUGGCUUUUAAUUGGAGCCACGUAUGAAUGGAGAAACGGGGUUUAGCUGUCUCUAGAUUAAUUUAUUGAAAUUACUAUAUAGGUGAAAAAGCCUAUAAGAAAAAAAAGGACGAGAAGACCCUUAGAGUUUUUCUAAAACCAAAUUAUUAUUUGGAGCAGUUUAGUUGGGGCAACAUAGGAGCAGAUACAAUUUAAUCUCCUUAAAUAUACAAGCCGAUAUUUAUAAACAUGUAUAAACUACCUUAGGGAUAACAGCAUAAUUUUAUUAAUAAGUUUGUGACCUCGAUGUUGGACUAGGAAACUGAAAGGCUAGCCGCCUUUUAGGGAAGUUCUGUUCUAACUAUUAUUCCU